rnacentral:rRNA from 1 species
AAAGCUCCCGGCUCAACUGGGACAGGUCCUCCAAUACUGUCGGACUAGAGGAUGGUACAGGAAGGUGGAAUUCCGGGUGUACCGGUGACAUGCGCAGAUCUCCGGAGGAACACCAGUGGCGAAAGCGGCCUUCUGGACCAUUCCUGACGCUCAGACGCGAAAGCUAGGGUAGCAAACGGGAUUAGAGACCCCGGUAGUCCUAGCUGUAAACGAUGUGAACUCGGAGUCGGUGGGAUUAAAUCCAUCGGUGUCGUAGCUAACGCGAUAAGUUCACCGCCUGAGGACUACGGCCGCAAGGUUUAUACUCAAAGGAAUUGACGGGUACCCGCACAAGCUGCGGAGCGUCUGGUAUAAUUCGUUGCUACACGAAGUACCUUACAUGGGUUUGACAUAUAGAUUGUAGGGAACUGAAAAGGGACCGACCCUUAGGGGAGCCUAUACAGGUGUUGCAUGACUGUUGUCAGCUCGUGUCGUGAGAUGUUCGGUUAAGUCCGCUAACGAGCGCAACCCUCGCCGUAUGUUAUAUGUGUCAUACGGGACUGCCGGUAACAAGCCGGAGGAAGGUGGUGAUGAUGUCAAGUCAGCAUGACCUUUAUAUCCAGGGCUACACACACGCUACAAUGGUCUGUACAAUGGGUAGCCAAGCCGUGAGGCGGAGCCAAUCCUGAAAGCAGGCCUCAGUUCAGAUUGCAGUCUGCAACCCGACUGCAUGAAGCCGGAGU